AUUGAACGCUGGCGGCAGGCUUAACACAUGCAAGUCGAGCGGGGACUUCGGUCCUAGCGGCGAACGGGUGAGUAAUGCCUAGGAAUUUGCCUUGUAGUGGGGGAUAACGUUUUGAAAGGAGCGCUAAUACCGCAUACGUCCUACGGGAGAAAGGAGGGGAUUUUUGGACCUUUCGCUAUAAGAUGAGCCUAGGUUGGAUUAGCUAGUUGGUGGGGUAAAGGCCUACCAAGGCGACGAUCCGUAGCUGGUUUGAGAGGAUGAUCAGCCCCACUGGAAAUGAGACACGGUCCCGACUCCUACGGGAGGCAGCAGUGGGGAAUAUUGGACAAUGGGCGAAAGCCUGAUCCAGCCCUGCCGCGUGUGUGAAGAAGGCCCUUGGGUUGUAAAGCACUUUAAGUGGGGAGGAGGCUUUUUUGGUUAAUACCUAAGAAGAGUGGACGUUAACCGCAGAAUAAGCACCGGCUAACUUUGUG
rnacentral:rRNA from 1 species